UACGUAGGGGGCAAGCGUUGUCCGGAUUUACUGGGCGUAAAGGGCUCGUAGGCGGCCAACUAAGUCGGACGUGAAAUCCCUCAGCUUAACUGGGGAACUGCGUCCGAUACUGGAUGGCUUGGAUUUGGGAGAGGUGAGUGGAAUUCCCAGUGUAGCGGUGAAAUGCGUAGAUAUUGGGAGGAACACCAGUGGCGAAGGCGGCUCACUGGACCGGUACUGACGCUGAGGCGCGAAAGCGUGGGGAGCAAACAGG
rnacentral:rRNA from 1 species